UACUACCUGCCACAACGUCGAAUUNUCAGUGAAUGGGCCCUAGAAAAGUUGGCAGAAAAUCCGCUUUUUUAUCGACAAAUUUUGUUCAGCGAUGAGGCUCAUUUCUGGUUGAAUGGCU